CACAGAUUGAGACAAUGUUAUGAAGAGCAUGACUGGGGUAACAUGACAGAGUUAGGCUGCUGGUUGUGGAGCAGCUGUUACCUUUGGGCUGACUGAUCAAAACUGAGCACUUGGACUCUAGAGCCUGAUGGGGAGCCUGCCCAGCAGAGAGCUUGAAUAAAAUAAGAACAUGUUAGAUGUUGGUACUUAGAACGUAUAAGC
rnacentral:lncRNA from 1 species